UUGAGGAGUGGCUUCCGGAGCUAACGCGUUAAGUCGACCGCCUGGGGAGUACGGCCGCAAGGUUAAAACUCAAAUGAAUUGACGGGGGCCCGCACAAGCGGUGGAGCAUGUGGUUUAAUUCGAUGCAACGCGAAGAACCUUACCUACUCUUGACAUCCAGAGAACUUAGCAGAGAUGCUUUGGUGCCUUCGGGAACUCUGAGACAGGUGCUGCAUGGCUGUCGUCAGCUCGUGUUGUGAAAUGUUGGGUUAAGUCCCGCAACGAGCGCAACCCUUAUCCUUUGUUGCCAGCGGUCCGGUCGGGAACUCAAAGGAGACUGCCAGUGAUAAACUGGAGGAAGGUGGGGAUGACGUCAAGUCAUCAUGGCCCUUACGAGUAGGGCUACACACGUGCUACAAUGGCAUAUACAAAGAGAAGCGACCUCGCGAGAGCAAGCGGACCUCAUAAAGUAUGUCGUAGUCCGGAUUGGAGUCUGCAACUCGACUCCAUGAAGUCGGAAUCGCUAGUAAUCGUGGAUCAGAAUGCCACGGUGAAUACGUUCCCGGGCCUUGUACACACCGCCCGUCACACCAUGGGAGUGGGUUGCAAAAGAAGUAGGUAGCUUAACCUUCGGGAGGGCGCUACCA
rnacentral:rRNA from 1 species